rnacentral:rRNA from 1 species
AGGAUUAACGCUGGCGCGGCGCCUAACGACGAUGCAAGUCGAACGAGGUAGCAAUACCUAGUGGCAGACGGGUGAGUAACGCGUGGUCAACCUACCGUUGAGUGGGGGAUAACUAGCCGAAAGGUUAGCUAAUACCGCAUACGUCUCCGAGGGGCAUCCCUUGGCGAUAAAAGGAGCAAUCCGCUCGAUGACGGGACCGCGUCCCAUUAGCUAGAUGGUGGGGUAACGGCCUACCAUGGCACCGAUGGGUAGCUGGUUUGAGAGAGCGACCAGCCACACUGGGACUGAGAAACGGCCCAGACUCCUACGGGAGGCAGCAGUGAGGAAUUUUCCGCAAUGGGCGCAAGCCUGACGGAGCGACGCCGCGUGUGGGAAGAAGGCCUUCGGGUCGUAAACCACUGUCGAAGGGGACGAUAAUGACGGUACCCUUGGAGGAAGCCCGGCUAACUACGCGCCAGCAGCCGC